UACAGAGGUCCCAAGCGUUGUUCGGAUUCAUUGGGCGUAAAGGGUGCGUAGGCGGCGGGGUAAGUCAGGUGUGAAAUCUCGGGGCUCAACCCCGAAACUGCACUUGAUACUGCCUCGCUUGAGUACUGGAGAGGAGACUGGAAUUUACGGUGUAGCAGUGAAAUGCGUAGAUAUCGUAAGGAAGACCAGUGGCGAAGGCGGAU
rnacentral:rRNA from 1 species